UGGGGAAUAUUGCACAAUGGGCGAAAGCCUGAUGCAGCGACGCCGCGUGAGGGAUGACGGCCUUCGGGUUGUAAACCUCUUUCAGCAGGGAAGAAGCGAAAGUGACGGUACCUGCAGAAGAAGCGCCGGCUAACUACGUGCCAGCAGCCGCGGUAAUACGUAGGGCGCAAGCGUUGUCCGGAAUUAUUGGGCGUAAAGAGCUCGUAGGCGGUUAGUCGCGUCUGCUGUGAAAACUCGAGGCUCAACCUCGGGCUUGCAGUGGGUACGGGCUGACUAGAGUGCGGUAGGGGUGACUGGAAUUCCUGGUGUAGCGGUGGAAUGCGCAGAUAUCAGGAGGAACACCGAUGGCGAAGGCAGGUCACUGGGCCGCAACUGACGCUGAGGAGCGAAAGCAUGGGGAGCGAACAGGAUUAGAUACCCUGGUAGUCCAUGCCGUAAACGUUGGGCACUAGGUGUGGGG
rnacentral:rRNA from 1 species